AAUGGUUUUUAAUAUUCAACCAAAAGGGAAUUUAUUUUGCAUUUGACAUUCGAUUUCUAAAAUUAGUACUACUUGUUCAAAGAACCGUCAAAUUUAGAAAAAAAGCGUAUAGCGAAAUCGUGUAUAUCGAGUAUGGCGUAUAUCGGGGAAUACCUGUAUAGCCACACGAGGAAGGAGCUGCUUCGCGUUCACAUGAAAAUGUGAUAGUGUGAAAUCAAGUUUGCAAGCGGUAGGACGCGUCGGUGUGUGUCCGUUUUUUCUCUCGUGAAACCAGUACGGAAAAACUAUUUGAAAUCGUAACACACGCACGAACGGAAGUGAGCACGGACCACAACAGAAGCAAUAUUCAAUUGGUUGGAGUGCCGAAAACAGAACAGGAGAGGAAAGAAGGCAGGAACGAUCCGAUCCUCCAACGUGCUAGCGCCUGGUAGAGGAGAAGCGGCAGGAAGGUAGAGACGAACAUCCACCUCGCUAGUGCAGCACGUGGGAGCAGCAAGAGGGAAGCAAGCAGGACGCGUACACACCAUUCGACGAAGGCAAAGCUGGAGGAAAGGAAGAACGAGGAGAGAAGGCAGGCAAGACGGGUACGUGUGUAUCCCGCACCGGUUUUUGGCAGUGUGAAAUGUGAGUAUUGAAAAGUGUAUGUGUGAGUAGAAGUAAAGAGGUAAAAUAAAGAGCGAAUGUGUGGAAUGGGAAAAUGAAAGAGAGUCUGUGUUUGUUUUGGGAGAGAGGAGAGAAUGAAAGAAAUUGAACAA